AACGAACGCUGGCGGCGUGCUUAACACAUGCAAGUCGAGCGAGAAAGGGAGGGGCAACUCUCCUGAGUAAAGCGGCGCACGGGUGAGUAACGCGUGGGUAACCUACCUCCAGGCGGGGGAUAACUACUCGAAAGGGUGGCUAAUACCGCAUGAGACCACGGGGUCCUUGGACCUUGAGGCCAAAGGCUGCAUCGGCUUGCCGGUGUAGUCACCAGGAGAUGGGCCCGCGUCCGAUUAGCUAGUUGGUGAGGUAACGGCCCACCAAGGCUGCGAUCGGUAGCUGGUCUGAGAGGAUGAUCAGCCACACUGGAACUGGAACACGGUCCAGACUCCUACGGGAGGCAGCAGUGAGGAAUAUUGCGCAAUGGGGGAAACCCUGACGCAGCAACGCCGCGUGGGUGAAGAAGGCCUUCGGGUCGUAAAGCCCUUUCGGACGGGACGAACGUUCCGCGGGGUCAAGCCGUGGAAUCUGACGGUACCGUAAGAAGAAGCACCGGCUAACUCCGUGCCAGCAGCCGCCGUAACAC
rnacentral:rRNA from 1 species